rnacentral:rRNA from 1 species
AUGAGCUCCUCCGACAAUGUUGCCGCCGGUGAGAAGACGAUGUGGCCGGAGGUUGUCGGGUUGUGCGCUAAAGAAGCCAAGAAGAUCAUCCUUGCAGACAAGCCCGACGCUGACAUCAUCAUGCUGCCCGUCGGUACGCCGGUAACCAAGGACUUCAGGCCUGAGCGCGUCCGUGUCUUCGUCGACAUCAUCGCCGACACCCCAAGCAUCGGCUAG